GUGCUCAUCGUGGCUCGGUCCUUUCCAUGUGGUCCCGACCUGCCCUCAGUGAGCAAGAGAAAGAGGACUGGUUUGGGGGCGUCCCGUCCAAGUGGUCAUGGGAUACCAUGGUUUUCAGUACAACA
rnacentral:snoRNA from 12 species